rnacentral:piRNA from 1 species
UCAGCAGCUGGCCGAGCCACAGAGCGA